AUCGAACGCUGGCGGCAUGCCUUACACAUGCAAGUCGAACGGCAGCACGGGAGCAAUCCUGGUGGCGAGUGGCGAACGGGUGAGUAAUAUAUCGGAACGUGCCCAGUCGUGGGGGAUAACGCAGCGAAAGCUGUGCUAAUACCGCAUACGAUCUAAGGAUGAAAGCGGGGGAUCGCAAGACCUCGCGCGAUUGGAGCGGCCGAUAUCAGAUUAGCUAGUUGGUGGGGUAAGGGCCCACCAAGGCGACGAUCUGUAGCUGGUCUGAGAGGACGACCAGCCACACUGGAACUGAGACACGGUCCAGACUCCUACGGGAGGCAGCAGUGGGGAAUUUUGGACAAUGGGCGCAAGCCUGAUCCAGCAAUGCCGCGUGCAGGAUGAAGGCCUUCGGGUUGUAAACUGCUUUUGUACGGAACGAAACGGCCCUUUCUAAUACAGGGGGCUAAUGACGGUACCGUAGAAUAAGCACCGGCUAACUACGUGCCAGCCGCCGCCGUAA
rnacentral:rRNA from 1 species